GACGAACGCUGGCGGCGGGCUUAACACAUGCAAGUCGAACGGAAAGGCCCUGCUUUUUUGGUGUUCUCGAGUGGCAAACGGGUGAGUAACACGUAAGUAACCUGCCCUUGACUUUGGGAUAACUUCAGGAAACUGGGGCUAAUACCUGAUAGGAGCUCCUUCUGCAUGGUGGGGGUUGGAAAUUUUCGGCUGUUGGGGAUGGACUCGCGGCUUAUCAGCUUGUUGGUGGGGUAGUGGCUUACCAAGGCUUUGACGGGUCGCCGGCCUGAGAGGGUGACCGGCGACAAUGGGACUGAGAUAGGGCCCAGGCUCGUACGGGAGGCAACAGUGGGGAAUAUUGUACAAUGGGCGGAAGUCUGAUGCAGAAACGCCGCGUGUGGGAUGACGGCCUUCGGGUUGAAAAACGCUUUAGCCUGUGACGAAGCGUGAGUGACGGUAAUGGGUAAAGAAGCACCGGCUAACUACGUG
rnacentral:rRNA from 1 species